rnacentral:rRNA from 1 species
GUAGGGAAUAUUGGGCAAUGGGGGAAACCCUGACCCAGCAACGCCGCGUGAGGGAAGAAGGUUUUCGGAUUGUAAACCUCUGUCCUUGGUGACGAAAAAAAUGACGGUAGCCAAGGAGGAAGCCCCGGCUAACUACGUGCCAGCAGCCGCGGUAAUACGUAGGGGGCGAGCGUUGUCCGGAAUUACUGGGCGUAAAGGGUGCGUAGGUGGCCUUUUAAGUUGGAUGUGAAAUACCCGGGCUUAACUUGGGGGGUGCAUCUAAUACUGGGAGGCUAGAGUGCCGGAGAGGGAAGCGGAAUUCCUAGUGUAGCGGUGAAAUGCGUAGAUAUUAGGAGGAACACCAGUGGCGAAGGCGGCUUUCUGGACUGUAACUGACACUGAGGCACGAAAGCGUGGGGAGCAAACAGGAUUAGAUACCCCGGUAGUCC